rnacentral:rRNA from 1 species
ACACGACUACAUUAGAUACCCCUGUAGUCCCAGCCGUAAACUAUGCUCGCUAGGUGUCAGGCAUGGCGCGACCGUGUCUGGUGCCGCAGGGAAGCCGUGAAGCGAGCCACCUGGGAAGUACGGCCGCAAGGCUGAAACUUAAAGGAAUUGGCGGGGAGCACCACAACGGGUGGAGCCUGCGGUUUAAUUGGACUCAACGCCGGGAAGCUCACCGGAUAAGACAGCGGAAUGAUUGCCGGGCUGAAGACUCUGCAUGACUAGCUG